rnacentral:ncRNA from 1 species
CCUUGCCGGUGACCUUGCCGGCCAGCCAGACGAUGCGGAUGCCCAAUGGUUCCAACCAGCUACGCAGAUUGGCGAGGUGCUGCUCGGCCAGCAAUUCGGUGGGCGCGGCAAGGGCGACCUGUUUGCCCUGCUCCACCGCCAACAUUGCCGCCAGUGCGGCGACCACGGUCUUGCCGCUGCCGACAUCGCCCUGUACCAGCCGCAGCAUCGGCGAGGCUUGCGCAAGGUCAUGCGCAAUCUGCUCGAACACGCGUU